rnacentral:hammerhead_ribozyme from 1 species
AUCCAACUGACGAGUCCCAAAUAGGAUGAAACACGCAUCCUGGAU